CGGUCCUGUAGUAUAACGGUUAGUACGAAGGUUUCUGAUUCGAUCGGAAUCGUGCAUUCCUUAAGCCGCGGUUCGACUCCGCGCAGGACCU
rnacentral:tRNA from 1 species